rnacentral:rRNA from 1 species
GACGAACGCUGGCGGCGUGCUUAACACAUGCCAGUCGAACGCUGAAGCUUGGUGCUUGCACUGGGUGGAUGAGUGGCGAACGGGUGAGUAAUACGUGAGUAACCUGCCCUUGACUCUGGGAUAAGCCUGGGAAACUGGGUCUAAUACUGGAUACGACAUGUCACCGCAUGGUGGUGUGUGGAAAGGGUUUUACUGGUUUUGGAUGGGCUCACGGCCUAUCAGCUUGUUGGUGGGGUAAUGGCUCACCAAGGCGACGACGGGUAGCCGGCCUGAGAGGGUGACGCGCCACAGCGGGGACAGAAACAGGGCGCAGCCCCCGAGGGGGGGGAGGGGGGGGGAAUGGUGCAGAGGGGGGGGAGGCCGGAGGCGGCGACGCGGGGGGGGGGAGGAGGGCUUGGGGGUUGAAACCCUGUUACGGAGGGAAAGAAGGGAAGGGGGGGGAAGGUGAAGAAAAGGGCCCGGCAAACUAGGUG